rnacentral:misc_RNA from 1 species
GAUGAAGAACGUAGCGAAAUGCGAUAAGUAAUGUGAAUUGCAGAAUUCAGUGAAUCACCGAAUCUUUGAACGCACAUUGCGCCCGCCAGUAUUCUGGCGGGCAUGCCUGUUCGAGCGUCAUUACAACCCUCAGGCCCCCGGGCCUGGCGUUGGGGAUCGGCGGAAGCCCCCUGUGGGCACACGCCGUCCCUCAAAUACAGUGGCGGUCCCGCCGCAGCUUCCAUUGCGUAGUAGCUAACACCUCGCAACUGGAGAGCGGCGCGUCCAUGCCGUAAAACACCCAACUUCUGAAUGUUGACCUCGAAUCAGGUAGGAAUACCCGCUGAACUUAAGCAUAUCAAUAAGCGGAGGA